rnacentral:rRNA from 1 species
UGGGGAAUCUUGCGCAAUGGGCGAAAGCCUGACGCAGCAACGCCGCGUGUGUGAUGAAGGUCUUCGGAUCGUAAAGCACUGUCGCGAGGGACGAAUAAGGGUUGGGUGAACAAUCCAGUCCGAUGACGGUACCUCGAGAGGAAGCACCGGCUAACUCUGUG